AUUGAACGCUGGCGGCAGGCUUCACACAUGCAAGUCGAGCGGGGUGAUGGUGCUUGCACUAUCACUUAGCGGCGGACGGGUGAGUAAUGCUUAGGAAUCUGCCUAUUAGUGGGGGACAACAUCUCGAAAGGGAUCCUAAUACCGCAUACGUCCUACGGGAGAAAGCAGGGGAUCACUUUUGACUUUUCGCUAAUAGAUGAGCCGAAGUCGGAUUAGCUAGUUGGUGGGGUAAAGGCCUACCAAGGCGACGAUCUGUAGCGGGUCUGAGAGGCUGAUACGCAACACUGGGACUGAGACACGGCCCAGACUCCUACGGGAGGCAGCAGUGGGGAAUAUUGGACAAUGGGGGGAACCCUGAUCCAGCCAUGCCGCGUGUGUGAAGAAGGCCUUAUGGUUGUAAAGCACUUUAAGCGAGGAGGAGGCUCUUUUGGUUAAUACCCAAGAUGAGUGGACGUUACUCGCAGAAUAAGCACCGGCUAACUCUGUGCCAGCCGCCGCCGUAA
rnacentral:rRNA from 1 species